GCCCCAGAGAUGCCUAAAGAAAGGCGCCCCUUUCUUUAGGACAGUGAGAGUGUCUUACCUUGGGGGGCACAGAGCAGAUACUUGUCUGUGAUUCCCGAAGGAAGGAAUGGCUUGGGGGGGUGGUUGGAUGGAGGAAGGCAGGGGCUCUGCGAGUUUCCGAUUUGGCAAGAGGACUCCUGUGUCCCGGAGAAGCCUGGGGAUAGAUAGAAGGUGUGAGCAAAGGGGGCUCAGGCUGAAGGGAGGGGCUACUUGUUUCUGAGGGCCUGCCGGCCGCCACCCCGGGAAUGGAUCUGGAUCCGGGAUCUCCAGGCUCUGGACCCCAGAACAACCCUUCCAGACUACGGUGGUCCCCGAGUCCUGAGGACAGCCUUCCGACGUGCUGGCCAGCAACCCUGACCCUCUGACCCCAUAGCCGGGCUCACGGUGACGUGCCGGAUGGGGAAUUUGGCAACUGGAAACCAAGGGCUGAGUCAGCCACUGGGAAAGCUGAGCUGAGAGAUCAUGAGGCUGUGUUGGAGUUGGGAGGCUUUGGGGAGCACCGGGCAGAGGGACAGAGGGAGCGACGGAGCAGAGCCGGGAAGUCAGAAGCAGCCCGAGGGUGGCGUCACUGGACCCCCACGUCUCAGCCUGUGCCCUGAGCCAGCCUGAGUUCGGCCCUGUGCUGGCCCUUCCCCUGUUUGGAGAAACAGCUAGUUCUGAUCGUGUCAUCCUAGAACAUGGAACUCUCCUGGGUCGAGGAGGGAAGAGCGUGGUGGCCUGGCGUCCUCGCGUCCCCACCCCACGGGAGCGGGCCUUCCAGGGCUGCUGAGGGCCACCUGCCUGGCAGGACCUCACCCGGUGUGGCGGCCACGCCAGGGAGCCGUGCACGCGCACAAGCCUGAGAAAGUGAGAAAUGCCAGCUUGGACCAGAAACUGAGACCCGACACGGUGCUGACCAGAUCGGAGGCGGCCGAGGGCUGGGCCGGCCCCCCUCGUACACACGGGGGCCUGGAAACCCGCCUGUGACCCCGCUGGUGUCCUUAGCUAGUGGGGAGGUGGGGACAGUCUCUGAUCAGCCUCGCGGAGGUCGUCCUGAAAACCCCGAGACCUUCCGUGUCGGCGUCCCCACCCCCCCGAGCGUCCACGCAGAGAGGGGGCCGGGGGUCCCGGUGGUUCCAUCGAGAGGGUAGCUCAGGCCAGUUCCCUCUUUUUCUCUGUUCUUUGUUGUCUAAACCCUUUGUUGUUGUUGUUUUUCUCAUUUUUCCCAGUGUCGUGCAAGUCCUGCCAGUGUUUCCAAGCACACUGCCUUGAAUCAGAUCCCAGCCCUCCGAGGCUCGGCCAAGCGGAGCUGUGUGUCCUGGGGAGGAAUAGGAAGGCGGGGGCGCUGGCAGCGGGGAGGGGGCGUCCGAGGCCCGUCAUCCUGCUCCCGCCCCCCGGGGCGCACGGUUCCGUCGGGGGCGACCUCCGGGCACAGGCCCCCGGGAAGGCACUUCACGUGCUCUCUCGAAUGAUGAGUGUGUCCUCGCUGCUGAAAGCGGCCGGAGGAAUUUUGUCCUUCGGCAUAUAUUUAGCUGUGUAUUUUCCUUUCCUGUCGCCACGGUCGAGGUGACAUUUGCCUGAAGCCGUGCAAGUCAGUGCAGCUGGAUGAGAGAGAGACAGAGCACGAGCAGGGGAGAGGCAGAGAGAGAAGGAGACACAGAAUCCGAAGCAGGUCCAGGCUCCGAGCUGCCAGCCCAGAGCCCGACGUGGGGCUCGAGCCCACGAGCCGUGAGCUCAUGACCUGAGCCGAAGUCGGCUGCUUAACUGACUGAGCCCCCCCCAGGUGCCCCUGCACAGAUUCUGUUUCACCAGAGACCCCCACCCACUCUGUGGCCCCAAGUCUCAGGGGUGUGCUCGCUGCGCCCCUGGGGAGAACCCGUGCCCGGGGACUCGCGAGGCCAGGCCCUGGGACGCAGGGGGUCCCGGAGCCCCGGGGCGGGGGGGAGCUGGGGGUGGGGGCCCGGGACAGCCCCGGGCCACCUGUGGGGCUCGCACGCUCUUAUUUACGAGGCUGCUCUGGGCCUGCCAGAGCGGGAGGAGCCCCCAGGGUCUGACCCCCGGCCCGGCUCUGAGCGAGCCGCAGGGACAGGCCGGCCGCAGCUGCAGCCACCCACGGUGGAGGCCACGUGCAAACGUCGGGGGAGGUGAGCCUGGCAGACUGGAACGCAUACUUCGGUCCUAAAACAGAUUUUAUCUGAACAAGAAACCAGAUAUGGAGAUGGAGGCGAUGUUGUUUUCUUCCGUGGAAAGCCCAGGAAGCAGCAUCGGGGCGCUGGCCGCCGCCCUGCUGCCCCGCCCCCGCCCCCCUAGGGAGCUUGGCCCCGGCGGUUAAGGCCCGGCCAGCGGGUAGGGGCGCUGGGGCUCGGCCGCCGUCAACCGACCCGGCCCGUCGCUUUUCCCGUCUUGGCUCUCGGCGGGACCCUGCAGUGCAGGUGGCUUGGCCAGGUCGCCGACAGCGCCCCCCACGGGUGCGACACUGGAGGCGUGUCUGCAGCAACAGAGCUCGAACCGCGUCUCGCCUGCAGACAAGGGGUCUCAGGAUGAUCUCAAGAAAUUCAUGGUCGUUUACAAAGCUUUGCCCAGGGAUGAGAGCAAACCAGCUUCCGAACAAAACGCCAAAAAGCAAAUACCGCGAAGCUUUCUAUAACGACGCUUCGCAAUGGCAUACGGCGUAUUUUUGUCCCAGGUGCCGCGACCAAAACACAGCCGUGUGGCUGAGGCUGCAGCCUGGUGCCACGGCCAGCAGGGAGGGCCCAGGCCGCUGUGCCGGGGACAGAGAUGUUCUUUUACACGGCCGUCUCAGGGGGGUGCAGAGCCCGGAGACACAUGAUUUUGAAACUGCAGGGCACUUUUGCGUGCACCCCAGACGGCCUGAGCUCCCUGCCGGCCACCAGGGAAGAGGAAGCAGAACCCGGUGAUGCGGGAGUGUAAGGGCCGAGGACCCGGGGCCGGAUUCUCCUGUCCAGCCCGUGGCCUGAUUUUUGCUCUGGGAACAAGCACGUCACGACCGCAGUGGUGAUGGAGGCUUGCCUCCCCUGGAACACGGGGUGCACGGCAGGACCCCGUUCCUAAGCAGCCGAGAGACGAGUAGGGCUCCCCUCGAUGCACGGAAGACGGGCUAGUGUGCAGGCUUGGGGAGGAGGGAAGCACUGGGCCUUCCCGCCGCACACGGGAGCUCUGCCCAGACAGGAGCAACCAGGAAUCCAGCUCCCGCGAGCCCCACGCCUGGGGGAAAGGGUGGGGCUUCUUUAAACACGGCGGGUGUUGCCAUUUGGAAGGACCUGGAAGAGGUCCACGGUUUCCACCUAGGGAGUGCUCACAGACCCUGAACGCCCUUGUCCUGGAACUGGACUCGGUCACACCCCCACUGGUGGGGGAGGAAAGCCCGAGGCAGACACAGGGUCCCUCGCGAUGGUCCCACCUGCCGCCCCAGACGUCCCUGCACCACCAGCCGACAAGAUGGAUACUCUGGAUGACAUGGGGGUGCAGAGGAAGAAAGAGGAAAUGAUGAGGAAAAGAGUCACAACAGAAUCCGAAAUGCACACCAAUGGCCCUGCUCAGUUGCUAGGAACGGGGUGGGCUCUGAGCUUCCUAGCAGUCAGAGCAAAGAGGAAAACUAGCGUCUGCCCAUUUCCCCAGAGCCUCCAGGAUGAUCCUCGGGGGCCUUGGGGUCUUGGCUCAUUGUGCUUAGGUCUGGGGUUUAAAAGAAGGAACAGGGUGGGGCGCCUGGGUGGCUCAGGCGGCUGAGCGUCUGACUUCAGCUCAGGCCAUGAUCUCAUGGUUCGUGGGUUCGAGCCCCGCGUCGGGCUCUGUGCUGACGGCUCGGAGCCUGGAGCCUGCUUCGGAUUCUGUCUCUGUCUCUCAGUCUCUCUCUCUCUCUCUCUGCCCCUCCCCCACUCACACUCUGUGUCUCUCUCAAAAAUAAAUAAAUGUUAAAAACCAUUAAAAAAAUACAAAAAGAAAUGCGGGGCAGCGUUUCCACGAGGCUCCAUCAGUGGGCAGUGAUCUGGAUGGAUUUCCUCACCUGCACCCUCGCCCACGGUGGGUGUUCGUCACUGAAAGGCAGCUCGGGCGCACCUGGUGUGACUUCUGGCAUGGGUUUGACUGUGACUCACCACGUUCCAGACAGGCGUUUAUCAAACGGGCUGUGACGGAGGGCCGGCGGGUUAAGACGCCUGAUGCCUCGUGGACGGAUCCUGGCCACGACAGUGUCAUGGCCAAGUCAAAAGGGGACAAAAGUCUCUAGGACCCUCGGCCCUGUCCGACCUCAGGUGGCCGGCUCACACAGCCACAC